rnacentral:rRNA from 1 species
UGGGGAAUUUUGCACAAUGGGGGAAACCCUGAUGCAGCGACGCCGCGUGAUUUAGAAGGCCUUCGGGUUGUAAAAAUCUUUUCUAUGGGAAGAAAAUGACAGUACCAUAGGAAUAAGGACCGGCUAAUUACGUGCCAGCAGCCGCGGUAAUACGUAAGGUCCGAGUGUUGUCCGGAAUCAUUGGGCGUAAAGGGUACGUAGGCGGGUAAGCAAGUUAGAAGUGAAAUCCUAUAGCUCAACUAUAGUAAGCUUUUAAAACUGCUCAUCUUGAGGUAUGGAAGGGAAAGUGGAAUUCCUAGUGUAGCGGUGAAAUGCGCAGAUAUUAGGAGGAAUACCGGUGGCGAUGGCGACUUUCUGGCCAUAACCUGACGCUGAGGUACGAGAGCGUGAGUAGCGCGCAGG